AGCGCAGUCAGAAAAUCAGCACGAGUACUGUCAUUUUUUCUACAAAUAUAUAUUUAUCCAGUCUCCAGAGCAACCAUCUUGAAAGCGACAUCCCAUCGUUAAAUAGUGCUCACCAAAAAACGUCGCUCGUGGAUUAAAUUUGAUACUUUCACUGGCUCACAGAGAAUUACAACACGCGAGUGUAAGAACCUGCAACUAGACUAGGAAAUUCUUUCCCUUUCAAUAGUGGAGACUGGAAGUGAGAGUAGCUGAGUAGACGGGGCUAGUUGUCAGAUUGGUGGAAUGUCAGAAAUGGAGACAAAUGGGAAUUUCGUACUUGAUGAGUUGCAGGAGAGGUUGAAAAUUUUGCAAGAACAAAUUGAUAGUGAGACGAUUGUAAAUGAAGAUGACCAGAAAAAGGAAA